CCCUUAGAUGUCCGGGGCCGCACGCGCGCUACACUGAAGGAAUCAGCGUGGCUUUCUCCCUGACCCGAAAGGGUUGGGAAACCCGUUGAAUCUCCUUCGUGAUAGGGAUUGGGGCUUGAAAUUGUUCCCCAUGAACGAGGAAUUCCCAGUAAGCGCGAGUCAUAAGCUCGCGUUGAUUACGUCCCUGCCCUUUGUACACACCGCCCGUCGCUACUACCGAUUGAACGGUUUAGUGAUGGCCUCGGAUUGGUCUCGGCCCGCUCUUUACCGGGCGGCGCCGUUGGUCGAGAAGACGCUCGAACUUGAUCGUUUAGAGGAAGUAAAAGUCGUAACA
rnacentral:rRNA from 1 species